GACCCGGUAGCUCAGUUGGUAGAGCAACGGACUUUUAAUCCGUAGGUCGUGGGUUCGAAACCCACCCGGGUCA
rnacentral:tRNA from 1 species